rnacentral:rRNA from 1 species
AGUGAACGCUGGCGGUAGGCCUAACACAUGCAAGUCGAACGGCAGCACAGUAAGAGCUUGCUCUUACGGGUGGCGAGUGGCGGACGGGUGAGGAGUACAUCGGAAUCUACUUUUUCGUGGGGGAUAACGUAGGGAAACUUACGCUAAUACCGCAUACGACCUACGGGUGAAAGCAGGGGAUCUUCGGACCUUGCGCGAUUGAAUGAGCCGAUGUCGGAUUAGCUAGUUGGCGGGGUAAAGGCCCACCAAGGCGACGAUCCGUAGCUGGUCUGAGAGGAUGAUCAGCCACACUGGAACUGAGACACGGUCCAGACUCCUACGGGAGGCAGCAGUGGGGAAUAUUGGACAAUGGGCGCAAGCCUGAUCCAGCCAUACCGCGUGGGUGAAGAAGGCCUUCGGGUUGUAAAGCCCUUUUGUUGGGAAAGAAAAGCAGCAGGUUAAUACCCCGCUGUUCUGACGGUACCCAAAGAAUAAGCACCGGCUAACUUCGUA